rnacentral:lncRNA from 1 species
AUUGCUGGGCUGCAUCUGCCACCUCCCGGCGGAUCGUGCUGCUGAGAUCCAACCCCUUCAGCUGAGACCUCCCUGCUAAGUCGAUUUGCAGAAGGAGCUCAGAUUGAAGUCAGUGAGUCGGCCUGGUUUAAUGCUGGCAGCAAGAGGGCUGUGACAUCAGAAGUGAGCAGACUGGGAGUGGAGAGGAGUUUCACCUGUCAGACUCGUUCCCCAUGCCUCAUUAAGGCCCCGUGCUGCUCAGCUUGCCUCUGUGCUGCGUUACAUCGACUCAGAGCUUCUCAAGCCACAGUGUGCCUCUCUGCUGCUCCGACAGAGCGCAUCACCACCAGCAGCUCCGAAAAGUAAGUACGUACCUGGGAACAUUACUUAGCAACAUCACUGGUAGAUCCAUUUGGUAGCACGGAUGUAUGCUUGUCUGUUAUCUGUUCAACAAAUCAAGAGACUAAGUAUUAUGCAGUCUGAUAUAUAAACAAAUUAUCUGUGCCAAAUAGCUAUAAGAAACUCAGCUUUUGUGUGAGGUGUUUGGUGUAACUUCCUGACAGAAUCUGGUUCACCACUGACAUCUCAUGUGGCCCUUAAAAUUUCACCUUGGCUGGGUAAAAGCAAACUUCCAGCAAGUCCCACCUGUUGGCUAGAUAAAUCUGUGCAACCCAAGACGUUCUUGUAAUAGAAUGAAAUCUGCAAAUUCUGUAACUAUACAGAUCCCACAUUUGUGUUCCUAUUUGUAUAAUCCUAUAAAAGUUGCCCAAGUUCUGAUUCAGUAACGACACGUGUUUGUGUGCCAAUUUAAUGCUCAUAAAAGUGCUGGCUUAAACAUCCAGGCGAAUGAACUCCUCUGUCCCUAGACAGUAGAUAGUUCCCCCAAAGGCUCUGCAGGAGCUUCUGUAUGAGUAAAGUUUGAACUAGAAAUAAUAAGGGCAAACCAC